UACGUAGGCAGCAAGCGUUGUUCGGAGUUACUGGGCGUAAAGGGUGCGUAGGCGGCCCUAUAAGUCAGUGGUGAAAUAUCGCAGCUUAACUGUGAGGGUGCCAUUGAUACUGUAGGGCUUGAGUGAAUUUGAGGUAGGCGGAAUUGACGGUGUAGCGGUGAAAUGCUUAGAUAUCGUCAAGAACACCGAUAGUGAAGACAGCUUACCAAGCUUCAACUGACGCUGAGGCACGAAAGUGUGGGGAUCAAACAGG
rnacentral:rRNA from 1 species